rnacentral:rRNA from 1 species
UACGUAGGGUCCGAGCGUUGUCCGGAAUUACUGGGCGUAAAGCGCGCGCAGGCGGCCCGCGAGGUGUCACGUGAAAGCCCCGGGCUCAACCCGGGAGGGUCGUGGCAAACCGGCGGGCUUGAGGCCGGGAGAGGUGGGUGGAACUCCUGGUGGAGUGGUGAAAUGCGUAGAGAUCAGGAAGAACACCCGUGGCGAAGGCGGCCCUCUGGGCCGGUACUGACGCUGAGGCGCGAAGGCGUGGGGAGCGAACGGG